UACAGAGGUCUCAAGCGUUGUUCGGAUUCAUUGGGCGUAAAGGGUGCGUAGGUGGCGCGCUAAGUCAGGUGUGAAAUUUCGGAGCUUAACUCCGAAACUGCAUUCGAUACUGCCGUGCUUGAGGACUGGAGAGGAGACUGGAAUUUACGGUGUAGCAGUGAAAUGCGUAGAUAUCGUAAGGAAGACCAGUGGCGAAGGCGGGUCUCUGGACAGUUCCUGACGCUGAGGCACGAAGGCCAGGGGAGCAAACGGG
rnacentral:rRNA from 1 species